AUUCCGGUUGAUCCUGCCGGAGGCCAUUGCUCUUGGGGUCCGAUUUAGCCAUGCUAGUCGCACGGGUUCAGACCCGUGGCAAAUAGCUCAGUAGCACGUGGCCAAUCUACCCUCUGGAACGGCAUACCCUCGGGAAACUGAGGUUAAUUCCGUACACAGCUCUCACCCUGGAAUGGUGAGAGCUCGAAACGCUCCGGCGCCGGAGGAUGAGGCUGCGGCCGAUUAGGUUGACGGUGGGGUAAUGGCCCACCGUGCCGAUAAUCGGUCUGGGUCAUGAGAGUGAGAACCCAGAGACGGACUCUGAGACAAGAGUCCGGGCCCUACGGGGCGCAGCAGGCGCGAAACCUUUACACUGCACGCCAGUGCGAUAAGGGGACCCCAAGUGCGCAGGCAUAGUGCCUGCGCUUUUCUGAACUGU
rnacentral:rRNA from 1 species